rnacentral:rRNA from 1 species
AUAAUGGGUCAGCGACUUAUAUUCUGUAGCAAGGUUAACCGAAUAGGGGAGCCGAAGGGAAACCGAGUCUUAACUGGGCGUUAAGUUGCAGGGUAUAGACCCGAAACCCGGUGAUCUAGCCAUGGGCAGGUUGAAGGUUGGGUAACACUAACUGGAGGACCGAACCGACUAAUGUUGAAAAAUUAGCGGAUGACUUGUGGCUGGGGGUGAAAGGCCAAUCAAACCGGGAGAUAGCUGGUUCUCCCCGAAAGCUAUUUAGGUAGCGCCUCGUGAAUUCAUCUCCGGGGGUAGAGCACUGUUUCGGCAAGGGGGUCAUCCCGACUUACCAACCCGAUGCAAACUGCGAAUACCGGAGAAUGUUAUCACGGGAGACACACGGCGGGUGCUAACGUCCGUCGUGAAGAGGGAAACAACCCAGACCGCCAGCUAAGGUCCCAAAGUCAUGGUUAAGUGGGAAACGAUGUGGGAAGGCCCAGACAGCCAGGAUGUUGGCUUAGAAGCAGCCAUCAUUUAAAGAAAGCGUAAUAGCUCACUGGUCGAGUCGGCCUGCGCGGAAGAUGUAACGGGGCUAAACCAUGCACCGAAGCUGCGGCAGCGACACUGUGUGUUGUUGGGUAGGGGAGCGUUCUGUAAGCCUGUGAAGGUGUGCUGUGAGGCAUGCUGGAGGUAUCAGAAGUGCGAAUGCUGACAUAAGUAACGAUAAAGCGGGUGAAAAGCCCGCUCGCCGGAAGACCAAGGGUUCCUGUCCAACGUUAAUCGGGGCAGGGUGAGUCGACCCCUAAGGCGAGGCCGAAAGGCGUAGUCGAUGGGAAACAGGUUAAUAUUCCUGUACUUGGUGUUACUGCGAAGGGGGGACGGAGAAGGCUAUGUUGGCCGGGCGACGGUUGUCCCGGUUUAAGCGUGUAGGCUGGUUUUCCAGGCAAAUCCGGAAAAUCAAGGCUGAGGCGUGAUGACGAGGCACUACGGUGCUGAAGCAACAAAUGCCCUGCUUCCAGGAAAAGCCUCUAAGCAUCAGGUAACAUCAAAUCGUACCCCAAACCGACACAGGUGGUCAGGUAGAGAAUACCAAGGCGCUUGAGAGAACUCGGGUGAAGGAACUAGGCAAAAUGGUGCCGUAACUUCGGGAGAAGGCACGCUGAUAUGUAGGUGAAGUCCCUCGCGGAUGGAGCUGAAAUCAGUCGAAGAUACCAGCUGGCUGCAACUGUUUAUUAAAAACACAGCACUGUGCAAACACGAAAGUGGACGUAUACGGUGUGACGCCUGCCCGGUGCCGGAAGGUUAAUUGAUGGGGUCAGCGCAAGCGAAGCUCUUGAUCGAAGCCCCGGUAAACGGCGGCCGUAACUAUAACGGUCCUAAGGUAGCGAAAUUCCUUGUCGGGUAAGUUCCGACCUGCACGAAUGGCGUAAUGAUGGCCAGGCUGUCUCCACCCGAGACUCAGUGAAAUUGAACUCGCUGUGAAGAUGCAGUGUACCCGCGGCAAGACGGAAAGACCCCGUGAACCUUUACUAUAGCUUGACACUGAACAUUGAGCCUUGAUGUGUAGGAUAGGUGGGAGGCUUUGAAGUGUGGACGCCAGUCUGCAUGGAGCCGACCUUGAAAUACCACCCUUUAAUGUUUGAUGUUCUAACGUGGACCCGUGAUCCGGGUUGCGGACAGUGUCUGGUGGGUAGUUUGACUGGGGCGGUCUCCUCCUAAAGAGUAACGGAGGAGCACGAAGGUUGGCUAAUCCUGGUCGGACAUCAGGAGGUUAGUGCAAUGGCAUAAGCCAGCUUGACUGCGAGCGUGACGGCGCGAGCAGGUGCGAAAGCAGGUCAUAGUGAUCCGGUGGUUCUGAAUGGAAGGGCCAUCGCUCAACGGAUAAAAGGUACUCCGGGGAUAACAGGCUGAUACCGCCCAAGAGUUCAUAUCGACGGCGGUGUUUGGCACCUCGAUGUCGGCUCAUCACAUCCUGGGGCUGAAGUAGGUCCCAAGGGUAUGGCUGUUCGCCAUUUAAAGUGGUACGCGAGCUGGGUUUAGAACGUCGUGAGACAGUUCGGUCCCUAUCUGCCGUGGGCGCUGGAGAACUGAGGGGGGCUGCUCCUAGUACGAGAGGACCGGAGUGGACGCAUCACUGGUGUUCGGGUUGUCAUGCCAAUGGCACUGCCCGGUAGCUAAAUGCGGAAGAGAUAAGUGCUGAAAGCAUCUAAGCACGAAACUUGCCCCGAGAUGAGUUCUCCCUGACCCUUUAAGGGUCCUGAAGGAACGUUGAAGACGACGACGUUGAUAGGCCGGGUGUGUAAGCGCAGCGAUGCGUUGAGCUAACCGGUACUAAUGAACCGUGAGGCUUAACCU